rnacentral:lncRNA from 12 species
GUCACUUCUUGUGCUUUCUUGCACUCUGCAAUUAUGAGGCAGAGAAUUCUAAAAUGCCACUAGCAAGGGAAAUAAGGGACUGGAUAUACUGUCCCUCCAUGGCAGUAGUCAAAUUAUCUUGCCUAUUCUACAGUGAUGAUGUUGUUCAUGUCUGCUCAUCCUGUGUCCCUGUCUAGAUGGACACCCAUCCAGGAGGAAGAAGACCUGAAACAAUACCCUCUCCUCACCCCACCUCACUUCCCUAACUUGGAGCCCCGUAGUUAAUAGUGGCUGAUAGAACCAGUGCCAUGGCUACAUCUUGGCACAUAAACUGGAUAUGAAAACAACAACAUCAAAAAAGACAGUCCCGCUCCUUUCAUUUCUUUAAUCACAACAAGCAGCCAGUUGCUGAGAGAUCCCUGCACGUGGGCGUCUUACACAGAGAUGGGCUUUUUCUCCUUGUUCUCAAUCAUUUGCAGUGCAGUUACGACUACAAUGCUUACGGAUGCGGGAGCGUCCUCAACAAACCUCUCUCUCUGCCUCUUCUGUGGCUCCCUCUAAUAUACGUUCAAGAGGACUUAUUGAAGCAUACUUUGAAAGGGCAAGAAGAAAGAAAGAAAGAAAAGAAAAAAUUGAUCCAAAUCUUCAUCAAUACAGAUAAGAUGGGCUUCUACCCGCCACGUCGUCAUUCCGUGUGAUAGAAGGAGUUUGUGCCUGCACCUGACUCUUUUUUCUACUAAAGUUCCCAGGAGGCCCUGUUUUUUUCAGUACCUGUACCAGUCAGCAUUCUCC